CUGCGCUCUGUAUUACACAGUAGUGCUGCAUGUACCAGGAAAGCUAACAAGGAAAAAUACAGUGGAAUUAUUUUUUAAUGAGUCAAUUUUAAUUUGUGAAAAUAUUCUACAUUUUGACACUAACAAAGCUCUUCGCUUCACACAUCCAUUUACAAUAUGAAAGCUCUGAUUUUCAUGCUCUGCCUUGUGAUGAGUUCAGGAAGACCUGUGAUUCACAAUGGAAGAGUUAUAGGAAGCAUCAGUGCUGAGAUGAUGCUUCGACAAGGCUAUGGUAAUGUUAUGAAUACACCCCAGAUCCAGGCAGGGAAUGCUAAACCUUUCGACACGACUGCUGGCUUCCCCUCAGUUCUUCCGAUGCAAGUCGAGGGUCAGAUGCCCCAGCCGCCUCUCACACCACAACAGCAAGUUAUGAAUAUGGAUCCCAUGUAUGGAAAUUUCCAAUUGAUAUCAUUUAUGCCUCAGGUUCCAAUAGUGUCAGAUCAACAGACUCAGGGUGGAUUCACAUACCUUCCAGCGAUACAACUUAUAAGUCCUCUCUCCAACACUGAUGUUCAGCCACCAAUGUACACAAUCAUGAUUCAGCAGGCACAAACAGCUGGGUCAGCAAGUUCUGAAGAACCCCAGCUUCAACCAAUUGUAUACAGCGGAAUUUUAAUCCCAGUAAUUACUGGAGGAAUUAACAGGGGCAUCACAAAGAACGAGGGCGGCGGAGCAACGGAGGAAGACAUCCCUACUCCUAGGGGUAUUUUGCCAACCCCAGAAAACCGUGAGCCUACGGACGGUAGAGGGGACCAAGGCACAGAUCCUGCCCACCAGGGGAGUAGCCCAACCACUGCAAUGCCUGAACUCCCGGGGGGAACCGGCGCAGUCCCUGAAAGUCCUCACCCGUCGGCUAAGAGAAGAAAGCCAGCCGGCGUCCACAGGGGCGGUGGCGCGGGCGAGGUAACUCCGUGCGAAGCGACACCGGCGACCUUAAGGAAGACGCCGUCGACGAGACCGGGCGACGGGGCCGUGUUUGUGGAGCCGACAGCGACAGCCGAUACCCUUCCUCGGGGCUUCUCGCGUCUGUCUCCGACCACGGCGGCCGCAGUGACCGCUCAGGGAGCCGCAGGGAUACCCCGAGGCGACGUCGUCUAAAAUCUAAACCCCGUGUCUGUGCCCACUAGCAGGUGGCAACUCAACAUUUAGAGUCGCGGGGUUUAGGCAAAGCAUGUUGGGUUAAGACCCAUUCCCAUGAUUUUCGGCCAGGCAUCCUCAGAAACUGUUCAGCUAUCUCUCGGUCGCAAAAGGGGAACAGUUCAUCCCCACUUCAAGCAGUGAAUAAAAUCAUUACCCUCACUGAGGAUCUGUUCUGACCCCCGGUUUCCCUUUCAAUACUUAUUUUGAAGUAGUUGUAUUAUUACAUAUUUCACUCACUUUGCACGUGUUUUUUUUUUACUUUUUUUGUGAUGCACUUUAUUUUUCGCAGAUAAAUUCUCUUAGAUUUUAUCGAACACGGCACCAUUAUUGUGUACAAUAUCGUAACAGGAAAAUUUUAGAAUUGCAGGUCAUUCUUGUUACGAAAAGUGUCAUUCAGAGCCUGCAUGCUGAUGCAUUAUUUGUUCAUGAUUCUUAAAUCCCCUUUUUAUAGUCUGAAUACCGUGUUGUAUUAUUGUUUUGGCAACUCUGAUGUGAACACGAUUGAUGAGAGAGAGCAUUUAAUGUUUUUUGUUCUUUUUACCUUUCUCAGGACAAUUUGUCUUUUGUUCUGAUGUUCAUGUGCUGGAUCAUGUGAGCAGCUUCUGGGCUUUGAAGGUGUCUGUCAUUGUAUUGAGGGGUCAGUGCAAAAGCAUUGCAAUGUACAAUGGAGCAUUUUUUAAUAAAUAAUUUUCUGAUUUCAAAUGCAUUUCAAUGUAUAAUGGAAU
rnacentral:lncRNA from 1 species